UUUAUUUGAACAAGAUGUAGAUAUUAAAUUAAUACUUGGCCAAAUUAAUGAUUGUAAGUGUUAUGUUUUGUAUAUAAAUAGUAUUUUGGCCAAGUGGGAGAAUGUUGGAAUAUUUUAUUCCUUAUGUGGCCUCUAAUAUUUAUGUAAUUAUUGGGCUUACAUAUUGUAUUAAUUUAAUCACUUUAUUUAUGGGUUUGGUAAUUAAUUAUGUGGCCUAUAAAUAAUAUUCCUAAUAGUAUUUGGCAUAAUGGGCCCUAGGGUUUCAUAAUCUUGAUGGACGAUUUUGACCCUUAACUAUUAUAUAAAUAAAACAGUUAGGGUUUGGUCCCAGUUGUCGUGUCAAGAAUUUUAUAUACACACCUAUACAUCCAUCUUAAGAUUAAGAGAGACAAUUGAAGACCUUCACCCUUGAGCGCAGCGGAGGCGUGAUACAUACAAGAUGACUUCUCUCAAUUCAUGUAAGUAAUUAAUAUUAUGAUUAAUUGAUUCUAUUUAUUCUAUGCAAUAACACGUUACUGUAUAAUUUAUUCAACACUGGUGGCAUGCCAUUUUUCUUGUUGACUUAAUUCAUAUAUAGUGUACACCAUAAAGUAAGAAGUUGUUAAUUAGAAACUGAAAUUUUGUCGUGAGAAUCACUACUACAAUAUUUCCUUAAGCAGUUACACUUAAUUUCGGUCUUGCAUGAUUAUCAUCACUUAAUUAAUUGUACGUCCGUCUCAUGAUCAUUACUACAUCAAAUCACGUAAUGUAAGUUACAAUUAACCCAGUAACAUAAUUUAGAUAGCUGAAGUCACAUGCAGGAACUUAUAGUAUUAAUUAGUGAUCAAAAAGUAAAAAACAAAUUAAGAAAAAUUACAAGAAGAUGGCAUGUGCAGAUCACAGCCGUCCAUCCCCGAGAAGCAGUUGAUGAGGAGGAGGAGUACCGAUCAUGAGACGACCUGUGUGGAGGCUUCCUGUAGUAAUAUGGAAACCAAGGCACUAUAGGGUCGUCCGGAGGGGGAGGUGCAGCAACACCAUUAACAUAAUAAGGUGGUGGAGGGUAAUUUGGUAAGAAACCUGACGGUGGAGGGACGUUAAAAUAUAAAGCCGGAGGUGGAUUUUGGGAUGGUGGUGAUGGAAUAUUGGCUGGUGGAAGGUUUCCGGGGUCGGUCGGUGGUGGAUAACAAGGGUAUGGGCACUCAGUUUGCGAUGUUGUUGUUGUUGCCGGAGAAUUGAGAACUAUAGAGAAAACAAGUGGAAAUGAAAAUAAAGAGAGGAAGAGAGAGUAGUAGUAGUAGUUAAUAAGAAAACAAAAACUGUGUUCGUUUGGUGCUUUAAUUUGUGGCUAGCUACCUCUAUUACUCCCUAAUUAGUAAGUACUCCUACUACUUCAUAAUUAAG
rnacentral:lncRNA from 1 species